GGGAGCGUGGCUGCGCUGAGUGGGAGAAUGCCCACCUGGCUCCGGUCCUUUCCCGAUCCUUUUUGGUGGUGAUGCUGAAACCUUUACAGCUGCAAACCAGGAAACCGUUUGCUGAAAAUGAGAUUUUCUUUCCUCAAGCAUCCCAGCUGGUCUUUAUACAGAACAGAGCCAAAACAAAACAAACAUACACAUGAACAAGGAGGACUGCAAAGAACUAUAUAUAUAACAGUAAAAAAAGAGGAUGGUUCUUUAUGCAAGAGCCUAGGCUCCCUUCUCAUUCAACAGAUAAAUUCUGAAUUUUCUCAAACAGGCCUACUCUGUUAGUUGAAUCUGAGGAGAAAACUAUUGGCACCUAGUCACUGAACAUCCUCUGAAUCUGGUGCGAGAGGAAUGCUUGUUAGCUCUUGAGUUAUAGGUUAAGCAGUAUUGCUGCAUGUAUUUUUCUGUCAAAUAUCAGUGUAGUGUCUUCUAGCAGUAGUGCUGCAUUAGAUGCCUUCUGCUAUCACAUUUAAAUAUGUGCACUUCAGCUUCAAAGGGAAAGUCCAGGAAUUGCAUACAGUUCUCUUUCUCAUCCCAAACACUGAAGGAUAAGUUUUAGCAGUUUAGGAUUUCUUGAUUCAUGACUUUCUACAGUGAGAUGCUUUUAUUCCACUAUAGUCAUGUAUUUUUUGUUCUUCAUGUGGUACAAAAGUAACAGGCUUCUCUAAAAAUAGCUUGCUUAAUUUGUGGACAUACUUAACUAAAUACAACCAGAACUUUCAGUUUGAAUUUACAGAUUGUAAUCUUAGAAAUACCUUUGAGCUGAAGUUUCUGAGAAACCUCAUCAACUUGGACCUUGUUUGAGCAGGGGGUGCACUAGAUAACAUCUAAAGGUCCCUCCCAGCAGAAAUUAUUCUAUGAUGUCGUGAGACUUAAGUAGAUAUACGACCACAUGAAGGAUGGACAUGUGUGACACGAUGGACCAAAACAGGCUUUAGACAUACUAAAUAUUUCCUUUUUUUUGUGAGAGAAUACAAAAAUUUUACAAGGAAUAAUCACAAUUUUUUUCUUUUUUUUUUUUUUUU